AGGAAAAGAAACCAACAGGGAUUGCCCUAGUAACGGCGAGUGAAGCGGCAAUAGCUCAAAUUUGAAAGCUGGCCUUCUGGUCCGCAUUGUAAUUUGCAGAGGAUGCUUUGGGGCAGCCGCCUGUCUAAGUUCCUUGGAACAGGACGUCAUAGAGGGUGAGAAUCCCGUAUGUGACAGGACAUGGCACCCUAUGUAAAGCUCCUUCGACGAGUCGAGUUGUUUGGGAAUGCAGCUCUAAAUGGGAGGUAAAUUUCUUCUAAAGCUAAAUACCGGCGAGAGACCGAUAGCGCACAAGUAGAGUGAUCGAAAGAUGAAAAGCACUUUGGAAAGAGAGUUAAAAAGCACGUGAAAUUGUUGAAAGGGAAGCGCUUGCAAUCAGACUUGUUCUGACUGUUCGGCCGGUCUUCUGACCGGUUUAUUCAGUCUGGGCAGGCCAGCAUCAGUUUCGGCGGUCGGAUAAAGGCCCUGGGAAUGUGGCUCUGCCUUCGGGGAGAGUGUUAUAGCCCAGGGUGUAAUACGGCCAGCCGGGACUGAGGUCCGCGCUUCGGCUAGGAUGCUGGCGUAAUGGUUGUAAGCGACCCGUC
rnacentral:rRNA from 1 species